rnacentral:rRNA from 1 species
AGACCAAGGGUUCCAGUCCAACGUUAAUCGGGGCUGGGUGAGUCGACCCCUAAGGCGAGGCCGAAAGGCGUAGUCGAUGGGAAAAUGGUUAAUAUUCCAUUACUUCUGUGUAAUGCGAUGAGAGGACGGAGAAGGCUAAAUCAGCCUGGCGUUGGUUGUCCAGGUGAAAGGAUGUAGGCAUGUAUCUUAGGCAAAUCCGGGGUACUCUAUGCUGAGAUCUGAUAGCAAGCUGUACUUGUACAGCGAAGUGGUUGAUGCCAUGCUUCCAGGAAAAGUCUCUAAGCUUCAGUUACACAGGAAUCGUACCCGAAACCGACACAGGUGGUCAGGUCGAGUAGACCAAGGCGCUUGAGAGAACUCUGCUGAAGGAACUAGGCAAAAUGGUACCGUAACUUCGGGAGAAGGUACGCUGUUGUUGGUGAUGGAACUCGCUUCCUGAGCUGACGACAGCCGCAGAAACCAGGCCGCUGCAACUGUUUAUUAAAAACAUAGCACUCUGCAAACACGAAAGUGGACGUAUAGGGUGUGAUGCCUGCCCGGUGCUGGAAGGUUAAUUGAUGGGGUUAGCGUAAGCGAAGCUCUUGAUCGAAGCCCCAGUAAACGGCGGCCGUAACUAUAACGGUCCUAAGGUAGCGAAAUUCCUUGUCGGGUAAGUUCCGACCUGCACGAAUGGCAUAAUGAUGGCGGCGCUGUCUCCAGCAGAGGCUCAGUGAAAUCGAAAUCGCUGUGAAGAUGCAGUGUACCCGCGGCUAGACGGAAAGACCCCGUGAACCUUUACUGCAGCUUGACACUGAACUUUGACCUUACUUGUGUAGGAUAGGUGGGAGGCUUUGAAGCUGGAACGCUAGUUCCAGUGGAGCCGUCCUUGAAAUACCACCCUGGUAAUGUUGAGGUUCUAACUCUGUCCCGUGAUCCGGGACGAGGACCGUGUCUGGUGGGUAGUUUGACUGGGGCGGUCUCCUCCUAAAGAGUAACGGAGGAGUACGAAGGUGCGCUCAGCGUGGUCGGAAAUCACGCGUAGAGUAUAAAGGCAAAAGCGCGCUUAACUGCGAGACCCACAAGUCGAGCAGGUACGAAAGUAGGUCUUAGUGAUCCGGUGGUUCUGUAUGGAAGGGCCAUCGCUCAACGGAUAAAAGGUACUCUGGGGAUAACAGGCUGAUACCGCCCAAGAGUUCAUAUCGACGGCGGUGUUUGGCACCUCGAUGUCGGCUCAUCUCAUCCUGGGGCUGAAGCAGGUCCCAAGGGUAUGGCUGUUCGCCAUUUAAAGAGGUACGCGAGCUGGGUUUAGAACGUCGUGAGACAGUUCGGUCCCUAUCUACCGUGGGCGCUGGAAAUUUGAGAGGAUCUGCUCCUAGUACGAGAGGACCAGAGUGGACGAACCUCUGGUGUACCGGUUGUGACGCCAGUCGCAUCGCCGGGUAGCUAUGUUCGGAAGGGAUAACCGCUGAAAGCAUCUAAGCGGGAAGCCUACCUCAAGAUAAGAUUUCCCUAGGACUUUAUGUCCUCUAAAGAGCCGUUCGAGACUAGGACGUUGAUAGGUUGGAUGUGGAAGCAUAGUGAUAUGUGAAGCUGACCAAUACUAAUUGCUCGUGAGGCUUGACUAU